rnacentral:lncRNA from 1 species
AUGCAGGAAGAACACCCACAUAAGCAGGUAUAGGAAGCAUGCACCAUACACAUGGGAAGAGUGCAGCAGCGCGCGCGCACAUCACUCAGAUACGUGCAGGCAGGGGAGCAUUUGUGGCUUGGGAUGCCUCAUGCCCCAAGAGUGCGCAUGUGUGCACACGCUUAACAGGACAUUCAUUGGGUUGCACAUGCAUGGGAGGAUGCUGCUGUAUGCACACAGACAUCACAAUCAUGCAGGAAGCUUCCCCGCAUACACCGCGCAUGCUUGUAGCAAGAGCGCGCACCUGGGCAGCCUACCCACAUGUCUAUGAGUCCUACUUGGAUCUUCAAUAUGUUUUCUUUUUCCAACCUACUUCCUACUGAAAAUUCCACCCAUAUUCUAAAGGAUUUCAAGCAUAAAAGAGG